rnacentral:lncRNA from 1 species
UUCUUAUUUCAUCUACCUUGUGUUUUAAGAUUAAUGUUUUUAUGUUGAGAAAUUGUUAUGGUUCAAGCCAAAUACAAUUAAUUGAGAGUCAGUUGUUGUACUAGCAUCUUGUAAUGAUCGUUGCACACUAGUGAAAGUGUGGAGUAUUGUUUGACUCUGGUAUCAAUGCCUUGUGUGAUGAGCUUACUGUGAACCGUGCAUGAUAACACCUAGAAUUUUCCCCGUUGGUCUGGUUGACUAAGUGAGGCUAUCUCUUUAUAGGAUCUUAGUCAACUUCGAAGAGUGUGAGCCAAUUUGACAUAUAC